rnacentral:rRNA from 1 species
GACGAACGCUGGCGGCGUGCUUAACACAUGCAAGUCGAACGGAAAGGCCCUGCUUUUGUGGGGUGCUCGAGUGGCGAACGGGUGAGUAACACGUGAGUAACCUGCCCUUGACUUUGGGAUAACUUCAUGAAACUGGGGCUAAUACCGGAUAGGAGCUCCUGCUGCAUGGUGGGGGUUGGAAAGUUUCGGCGGUUGGGGAUGGACUCGCGGCUUAUCCGCUUGUUGGUGGGGUAGUGGCUUACCAAGGCUUUGACGGGUAGCCGGCCUGAGAGGGUGACCGGCCACAGUGGGACUGAGAUACGGCCCAGACUCCUACGGGAGGCAGCAGUGGGGAAUAUUGCACAAUGGGCGGAAGCCUGAUGCAGCAACGCCGCGUGCGGGAUGACGGCCUUCGGGUUGUAAACCGCUUUCGCCUGUGACGAAGCGUGAGUGACGGUAAUGGGUAAAGAAGCACCGGCUAACUACGUG